rnacentral:rRNA from 1 species
UACGUAGGGACCAAGCGUUGUUCGGAUUUACUGGGCGUAAAGGGCGCGUAGGCGGCAAAUUAAGUCAGCUGAUGAAAUCUCCGAGCUUAACUCGGAACUGUCAGCUGAUACUGAUGUGCUAGAGUGCGGAAGGGGCAAUCGGAAUUCUUGGUGUAGCGGUGAAAUGCGUAGAUAUCAAGAGGAACACCUAUUGCGAAGGCAGCUCGCUGGGACGUUACUGACGCUGAGACGCGAAAGCGUGGGGAGCAAACAGG